GACGAACGCUGGCGGCGUGCUUAACACAUGCAAGUCGAACGAUGAGGAAGAGCUUGCUCUUCGGAUUAGUGGCGAACGGGUGAGUAACACGUGACUAACCUGCCCCUUUCUCUGGGAUAACGCUCCGAAAGGAGUGCUAAUACCGGAUACUCACAUCGAGGCACAUGCCUUGAUGUGGAAAGUUUUUCGGAAAGGGAUGGAGUCGCGGCCCAUCAGCUUGUUGGUGAGGUAACGGCUAACCAAGGCGACGACGGGUAGCCGGCCUGAGAGGGGGACCGGCCAGACUGGGGCUGAGAACCGGCCCAGACUCCUACGGGAGGGAGCAGUGGGGAAUAUUGCACAAUGGGCGAAAGCCUGAUGCAGCGACGCAGCGUGAGGGAUGAAGGUCUUCGGAUUGUAAACCUCUUUCAGUAGGGACGAAGCGAAAGUGACGGUACCUAAAGAAGAAGCACCGGCUAACUACGUGCCAGCCGCCGCCGUAA
rnacentral:rRNA from 1 species